rnacentral:rRNA from 1 species
GUGGGGAAUAUUGGACAAUGGGCGAAAGCCUGAUCCAGCCAUGCCGCGUGUGUGAAGAAGGUCUUCGGAUUGUAAAGCACUUUAAGUUGGGAGGAAGGGCAGUAAGUUAAUACCUUGCUGUUUUGACGUUACCGACAGAAUAAGCACCGGCUAACUUCGUGCCAGCAGCCGCGGUAAUACGAAGGGUGCAAGCGUUAAUCGGAAUUACUGGGCGUAAAGCGCGCGUAGGUGGUUUUGUAAGUUGGAGGUGAAAUCCCCGGGCUCAACCUGGGAACUGCCUCCAAAAGUGCAUGACUAGAGUACGGUAGAGGGUAGUGGAAUUUCCUGUGUAGCGGUGAAAUGCGUAGAUAUAGGAAGGAACACCAGUGGCGAAGGCGACUACCUGGACUGAUACUGACACUGAGGUGCGAAAGCGUGGGGAGCAAACAGGAUUAGAUACCCGGGUAGUCC